AUAACAAUGCGGGACUCUUAUGAGGCUUCGUAAUUGGAAUGAGUACAUUCUAAAUCCUUUAACGAGGAACUAUUGGAGGGCAAGUCUGGUGCCAGCAGCCGCGGUAAUUCCAGCUCCAAUAGCGUAUAUUAAAGUUGUUGCGUCUAAAAAGCUCGUAGUUUGAAAACUUGCCUUGGCUUACAACAGACGUCUAAGGGCGUCACCGUUUGUCGAGAGCAAAUAUGGGUGACUGUUCUUGCCUUCUUCACUGAUUGGCUCGUAAAAGUCAUCGAAGAUCACUUUGAUUAAAUUAGGGUGCUCAAAGCAAGUGUGCUACUUGAAUAUGAAUGCAUGGAAUGAUGGAAUAUGUUGUUGUUCUAUUUGUUGGUUUUUUGAAUGACGAAAUGAUUGAAAGGAACUGUUGGGGGCAUUCGUAUUGUUGUGAGAGAGGUGAAAUUCUUAGACCAUAGCAAGACGAACUACUGCGAAAGCAUUUGCCAAGAAUGUUUUCAUUGAUCAAGAACGAAAGUUAGAGGUUCGAAGGCGAUCAGAUACCGCCCUAGUUCUAACCAUAAACUAUGCCGACUAGCAAUUUGCUUUGUAUUUUUAUGACUAAGUGAGAGGCCACGGGAAACCAAAGUAGGGUUAUGGGGGAAGUAUGGUUGCAAAGCUGAAACUUAAAGGAAUUGACGGAAGGGCACCACCAGGAGUGGAGCCUGCGGCUUAAUUUGACCCAACACGGGAAAACUUACCUGGUCCUGACACUAGAAGGAUUGACAGAUUGAUAGCUCUUUCUUGAUUUGGUGGAUGGUGGUGCAUGGCCGUUCUUAGUUGGUGGAGUGAUUUGUCUGGUUAAUUCCGAUAACGAACGAGACUCUAGCCUAUUAAAUAAUAUGCGGAAUCAAUUUCUCCCGCGUUAUUUCUUAAUGGGAUCAAGCGUGUUUAACGCUUUGAAACAGAGCAAUAACAGGUCUGUGAUGCCCUUAUAUGUUCGGGGCUGCACGCGCGCUACAUUGAAGAACAAAGUGAGCCCUCUGGCUUUUAACAAAGCUAGAAAUCUUUUAAUGUUCUUCUUAAUGGGGAUAGGGGAUUGCAAUUGUGCCCCUUGAACGAGGAAUUCCCAGUAAGUGCUAGUCAUUAGCUAGUACUGAUUACGUCCCUGCCCUUUGUACACACCGCCCGUCGCUACUACCGAUUGAAUAGUUUAGUGAGAUCAUCUGAGUGUUUGUAUGUGCAUUCUGUGCUUGUAUGGUGUACGAAGAAGAUCAAACUUGAUUAUUUAGAGGAAGUAAAAGUCGUAACAAGGUUUCCGUAGGUGUACCUGCGGAAG
rnacentral:rRNA from 1 species